rnacentral:rRNA from 2 species
GUACGUACAAGCAGUGGGAGCAUCCUUCGGGGUGUGACUGCGUACCUUUUGUAUAAUGGGUCAGCGACUUAUAUUCUGUAGCAAGGUUAACCGAAUAGGGGAGCCGAAGGGAAACCGAGUCUUAACUGGGCGUUAAGUUGCAGGGUAUAGACCCGAAACCCGGUGAUCUAGCCAUGGGCAGGUUGAAGGUUGGGUAACACUAACUGGAGGACCGAACCGACUAAUGUUGAAAAAUUAGCGGAUGACUUGUGGCUGGGGGUGAAAGGCCAAUCAAACCGGGAGAUAGCUGGUUCUCCCCGAAAGCUAUUUAGGUAGCGCCUCGUGAAUUCAUCUUCGGGGGUAGAGCACUGUUUCGGCUAGGGGGUCAUCCCGACUUACCAACCCGAUGCAAACUGCGAAUACCGAAGAAUGUUAUCACGGGAGACACACGGCGGGUGCUAACGUCCGUCGUGAAGAGGGAAACAACCCAGACCGCCAGCUAAGGUCCCAAAGUCAUGGUUAAGUGGGAAACGAUGUGGGAAGGCACAGACAGCCAGGAUGUUGGCUUAGAAGCAGCCAUCAUUUAAAGAAAGCGUAAUAGCUCACUGGUCGAGUCGGCCUGCGCGGAAGAUGUAACGGGGCUAAACCAUGCACCGAAGCUGCGGCAGCGACACUAUGUGUUGUUGGGUAGGGGAGCGUUCUGUAAGCCGUUGAAGGUGUGUCGUGAGGCAUGCUGGAGGUAUCAGAAGUGCGAAUGCUGACAUAAGUAACGAUAAUGCGGGUGAAAAACCCGCACGCCGGAAGACCAAGGGUUCCUGUCCAACGUUAAUCGGGGCAGGGUGAGUCGACCCCUAAGGCGAGGCCGAAAGGCGUAGUCGAUGGGAAACAGGUUAAUAUUCCUGUACUUGGUGUUACUGCGAAGGGGGGACGGAGAAGGCUAUGUUAGCCGGGCGACGGUUGUCCCGGUUUAAGCAUGUAGGCGGAGGUUCCAGGUAAAUCCGGUACCUUUUAACGCUGAGGUGUGAUGACGAGGCACUACGGUGCUGAAGUAACAAAUGCCCUGCUUCCAGGAAAAGCCUCUAAGCAUCAGGUAACACGAAAUCGUACCCCAAACCGACACAGGUGGUCAGGUAGAGAAUACCAAGGCGCUUGAGAGAACUCGGGUGAAGGAACUAGGCAAAAUGGUGCCGUAACUUCGGGAGAAGGCACGCUGAUAUGUAGGUGAAGUGAUUUACUCAUGGAGCUGAAAUCAGUCGAAGAUACCAGCUGGCUGCAACUGUUUAUUAAAAACACAGCACUGUGCAAACACGAAAGUGGACGUAUACGGUGUGACGCCUGCCCGGUGCCGGAAGGUUAAUUGAUGGGGUUAUCCGUAAGGAGAAGCUCUUGAUCGAAGCCCCGGUAAACGGCGGCCGUAACUAUAACGGUCCUAAGGUAGCGAAAUUCCUUGUCGGGUAAGUUCCGACCUGCACGAAUGGCGUAAUGAUGGCCAGGCUGUCUCCACCCGAGACUCAGUGAAAUUGAACUCGCUGUGAAGAUGCAGUGUACCCGCGGCAAGACGGAAAGACCCCGUGAACCUUUACUAUAGCUUGACACUGAACACUGGUCCUUGAUGUGUAGGAUAGGUGGGAGGCUUUGAAGUGUGGACGCCAGUCUGCAUGGAGCCAUCCUUGAAAUACCACCCUUUAAUGGCUGGUGUUCUAACGUAGACCCGUUAUCCGGGUUGCGGACAGUGUCUGGUGGGUAGUUUGACUGGGGCGGUCUCCUCCUAAAGAGUAACGGAGGAGCACGAAGGUUAGCUAAUCCUGGUCGGACAUCAGGAGGUUAGUGCAAAGGCAUAAGCUAGCUUGACUGCGAGAGUGACGGCUCGAGCAGGUGCGAAAGCAGGUCUUAGUGAUCCGGUGGUUCUGAAUGGAAGGGCCAUCGCUCAACGGAUAAAAGGUACUCCGGGGAUAACAGGCUGAUACCGCCCAAGAGUUCAUAUCGACGGCGGUGUUUGGCACCUCGAUGUCGGCUCAUCACAUCCUGGGGCUGAAGUAGGUCCCAAGGGUAUGGCUGUUCGCCAUUUAAAGUGGUACGCGAGCUGGGUUUAGAACGUCGUGAGACAGUUCGGUCCCUAUCUGCCGUGGGCGCUGGAGAAUUGAGGGGGGCUGCUCCUAGUACGAGAGGACCGGAGUGGACGCAUCACUGGUGUUCGGGUUGUCAUGCCAAUGGCAUUGCCCGGUAGCUAAAUGCGGAAGAGAUAAGUGCUGAAAGCAUCUAAGCACGAAACUUGCCCCGAGAUGAGUUCUCCCUGACCCUUUAAGGGUCCUGAAGGAACGUUAAAGACGAUGACGUUGAUAGGUCGGGUGUGUAAGUGUAGCGAUACAUUGAGCUAACCGAUACUAAUGAACCGUGAGGCUUAACCUU